CCUACGGGAGGCUGCAGUGGGGAAUAUUGCACAAUGGGCGCAAGCCUGAUGCAGCCAUGCCGCGUGUGUGAAGAAGGCCUUCGGGUUGUAAAGCACUUUCAGCGGGGAGGAAGGCGUUAAGGUUAAUAACCUUGGCGAUUGACGUUACCCGCAGAAGAAGCACCGGCUAACUCCGUGCCAGCAGCCGCGGUAAUACGGAGGGUGCAAGCGUUAAUCGGAAUUACCGGGCGUAAAGCGCACGCAGGCGGUCUGUCAAGUCGGAUGUGAAAUCCCCGGGCUCAACCUGGGAACUGCAUUCGAAACUGGCAGGCUAGAGUCUUGUAGAGGGGGGUAGAAUUCCAGGUGUAGCGGUGAAAUGCGUAGAGAUCUGGAGGAAUACCGGUGGCGAAGGCGGCCCCCUGGACAAAGACUGACGCUCAGGUGCGAAAGCGUGGGGAGCAAACAGGAUUAGAUACCCGAGUAGUC
rnacentral:rRNA from 1 species